AUCAGAUGGAGCUAAAAUAUGCAUAGUGUACGAGGAUGGCGCCAUCAUUGUAGGCUCUGUUGAUGGAAAUCGUAUUUGGGGGAAGGAGCUAAAGAAUAUUCAUUUAACUACCAAAAGUUAAUGAUGAAGCUAAAUGUACAGUGCGUCACCCUUAGUCCAAAUAGAAAUUUUAGAAUCUCGGCACUUUGUUGGUAUAGGGGACGGGCACCAUCCAACCGACCAGUUCUUGCUAUUUGUUUUGAGACGUGCAAAUUGCAAAUUAUGCGAAAUGAAAGCGAUGACGCCCCAGUUAUCAUCGAUUCUGGUAUGCGAAAUAUAGCUGCUGAGUGGAAUCAAGACGGUUCCGUGCUUUCUGUUUGUGGAAUUCUUAUAGAUUUCAAUACUUCGAAAUAAUCGAAUCAAGUAAAUUUUUACUCCCCAUUCCGACAUUUGAUACGCCCUUUAAAGGUUCCAGGGAAUGAGAUCUCUUCACUUUCAUGGGAAGGAAAAUCGCUACGCAUUGCAAUGGCUGUCGAUUCAUUUAUAUAUUUUGCAAAUAUACGUCCAGAUUAUAUGUGGUGUUAUUUUGAAAAA